UACGGCCACAUCACUUUCAAAUAACAGUUCCCGGACGAUCACCAAAGUUAAGCAACGUCGAGCCUGGUCUGUACCUAGAUAGGUGAGUGCUUGCGAACACCAGGUGUUGAAUG